AUGGACAACGUAACCAGAGCCCUACAACUCCCCGUAUUAUUCAAGGGGAGCUCAGCAGCUCUCUGGGGAAGACUUGGAGAUGACCCAGCGUUGAAGGGAGUGAGAAUGGGGCUGAAUCCGAAGCACUCGUGUUUGAGGAAGGCCACGCUGUUGAGACAAGCACCAGUUACACGCUGUCCCGCCCCGCUCUCGUCUGUGUCACUGUCUCCACAAGGCGUUACAUCGGCUCCUGUGGACGACCCUGGUGAACACAUGCACUGUCGUAAGGACACGUACCAGUCAUGUUUCACCACAAACAUGAUCGGUCUUUUGCAUGCUAUUUCUCUACUUGAUGCAUUUUUGAAGAAUGAUAUUUUUUUAAUAUAGAUUUUGAAGAAUGGAAUCCUAUGCAUAUGUAUCAAUGUAGUUAUCUUUAUUUCCAAUAGCUAACAGGUUGACAAAAACAAAUACUUCAUAAAAAGUAUGGCUAAUAUAGUCUUGGAAAUGAGCCAAUUCCUUCAAAUAAAUAUUUGUGAUUGUUAUUUUAAUUCUGAUCAUCAAGAGACACAAAGAAAUAUAUAAUACUUCAUACAAAAUUAUGGCUACGGUCAUAUUAGUGAUGGAAUGUCUCCGUGUUUGUCUUCAUGGUCAAGCAGAAUCCAAGGGUUGAUUUAUCUCCACUAAUCAAGUUGCUCAAAGAACGUCAUACCAAUAAUCUAUCGACAGGUUUUCAAAAGCAGUUGGUUUAUAAGCGAAAAACAAAAGGAAAGAAAUGCCACUAUGGAACUCAUAAAAAAAGUACAAAAGAGCAUAAAUGCACUAUGUGAUAUAGCAAUCCACAGGUCGUUUACCAACGUUUUAAUUAAAGCCUUACAUAUUAAAACUUUACAACAAGUGAUAUGAAAAAUGUACAACAUUUUAUUUUUCAGGAAUUCUAUGUACAGCUGGCUAAAAUACCCCCCAAUGUUUUUCAAUUGGCUUUGACAGUGCAACAAACUGGCUUAGAGAGUCUUCUUUUGAAUGCUUUUUUUGUUGUUGAGACAAAUCAGGACCUGAGGAAUAGUGUAAAAAUACAUCAUUCGUGAAACCAUCUGCCUCGGUCCUGACAUUUGUAUGAACAAUAAAAUAUCCCUUUAAUACACAAAAUAAAAACAUAAUUUAAUUAUUAAACGUCUGAAGUAAAAACCAAACACAUCAGAGGGGUGGAAUCUUUUGUUGUCUUCUUGUUUUUGGAGUGCCAGGAACACACAAUGGAUGGUGAAGGGAACUCAGCCGAGAACAGUGAUGGCUCCUCUCUCCCAAACAUGUACAGCAGAUUACAGCUACAGUCGAUGACAGGGUGAUGCAGGUGAUUCAUGGCAGUAUUUGUCAGUCUAUUCUGUCCUUCAUUCAGUGAGAUGCAGCCAAAGGUCUCCUCUUCCAAUCUACGUGUCCUGGAGCCUCUUGUCUCUGUGACGUGAGUCCAAUGUGUUAGGAAAUCACUUCAGCCUCCUACAUCAUGUGAUGGUUUGAUCAUUUCCUCCUGGCCAGUAUUUAAUCAAUUACAUCAAAGGAAUGAGGGGUGAAAGAGAGGUACAGCGAGAGGUUCUCAGAGUAUACUGGCCAGUGUGGUAACAGGUAUUGAUUUGUGGGUACCAUUCCAGAACACGCUACCUGGGAAUCUUUCCGUUCGAAAUUGGUUUUGUUAAAAUAACUUCAAAAUAUCCAUUCGCUAGACGGAACUGACAACUCUGAUCUCAUAAAUAAAGCUUUAUUGUUAAAUAAAAACAGCAAAAAGACAUUCAUGUCUUCCCCCGUACGAGACAGUGAAAAGAAACACAACGAAACCUAAAGAAACAAACAAGACCCAGCAGAGAAACCAGGCAACGAGAUCUCCCCUCACAGCUCAGCCUAUUUCAUAGACAAAACCCACCGUUCGUAUUCGCGCUCUGUACACAUAUGUGCAUAUCCGUCUAUAACAAUGGACAAAUUCUCCUGUAUAACAUUCCCAUAUUUCUUUUGACACACUUUUUAAGUGCAACUUAGAAAAAGCAACCUAGAAUGAUGCUUUUUAUUAUUCUUUGAGA
ensembl:lncRNA